UACGUAGGCAGCAAGCGUUGUUCGGAGUUACUGGGCGUAAAGGGUGUGUAGGCGGCUUCGUAAGUUCGGUGUGAAAUCUCCUGGCUUAACUGGGAGGGUGCGCCGAAAACUGCGGAGCUGGAGCGCAGGAGAGGAAAGCAGAAUUCCUGGUGUAGCGGUGAAAUGCGUAGAUAUCAGGAGGAAUACCGGUGGUGAAGGCGGCUUUCUGGACUGCUGCUGACGCUGAUACACGAAAGCGUGGGGAGCGAACAGG
rnacentral:rRNA from 1 species